rnacentral:rRNA from 1 species
GACGAACCACACAAACGUUAUUCGGAAUUACUGGGCUUAAAGGGUGCGUAGGCUGUGCGGAAAGUUGGGUGUGAAAUCCCCCGGCUCAACCGGGGAAUUGCGCCCAAAACUACCGUGCUUGAGGAAGACAGAGGUGAGCGGAACUUCGGGUGGAGCGGUGAAAUGCGUUGAUAUCCGAAGGAACACCGGUGGCGAAAGCGGCUCACUGGGUCUUUUCUGACGCUGAGGCACGAAAGCUAGGGGAGCGAACGGG